CUUCUCCCUUCCUUUUCUUCCUCCCGCUCCGCCCUCCUCCUCCCUCCUCCUUUGCCCUGUUCCUCCUUUCUACUUCCAGGAAUGCCCUCCUGCCCUGACACCUGGCCCUUUUGGAGCCAGGAAGAGAGGAGACGGGAUCACAGCCCUGCAUGACAAGAGCCUCCAGCGCACAGCAGACGGACAGUGUCACAGUCCGCCCCUGCAGGGUGGUAACAAGGGCUCGGGCCGGACUCUGAGGCAAACAGCCUGAACGUAUGUUGUCUCAGCAAGGAGAGAAAAGUAACCAAGACAAAUCCAAUGCAGCUCUCCAGCCUGAAGGAAGCAGAGUUGGGCAGAAAAGACCAGGUCAAAGAGUCAGGUCCUGUGGCAAGUGGAGAACUGGACCCCAGGCCCAGGCCACCUCCUCACCUUCAGGCAGUCACAGCAAGGACAUUCAGCUCAACUUUCUUCAGCCUCGCCAGCCUGCACACUCGGCAGGGGAAUCCAAGGUGAAGGUUUGAAGAAAUGAAUCAGCAGCUCUCCAUUUUGUACCCUAAGCUAUUCACUGGUAAGAUAAAGGCCUUGCUGAGGUGGAGAUGAGCUAUUACUGAAGCCCAUUGGCUGGGCUGUGCCUAACGAACGGAUUGUGUCUUAGCCUGAAAAUACUUACUCUUGUAAAUAAUUUGUACAGUAAAAGCAAAGGCCAAGGAAUCUUGUGUGAUGGCAAGAAGUGGGCAUGAAGUGUAACCACGAGGUUGAGAUGGAGCUUUAAAAAUUAAGAUUUACUUCUAAGAGAUAGGCGGCUUCUCCAACUUCGCUGUGCUGAGAGCCGAAAUGGUCACUCCAUCCCCGCCUCAGGUCAGAUGGAUAGUCAGGCAAGUAGUGUAUCCAUUUGAAAAGAAAAUGUGGAUGUUGGCCUAAGGAGACUGAGGUUUUGGAAAGGUAUAUUUAUUGACUUUGUCCCGUUUUUUGUUUUGUUCUGCUUUUGCCUUUGCAUUGGCCAGGAUGAAGCAGCGUGGGAAUUUCCUGGACUAUUUUCUUGUAUUCCUCUUCACUGUCCUCACAAUACAAGCCCUUGCACACACGAACACAGGAAGACAGAGAUUUAAGACAAAGGCCUCUUCGUCUCCUUCAGAACUAGCUUUGAAUAAACUCUUUCCACCAAAAAUUGUCUCUCGUGUACUGGGGAGUGAUGGUCAGUAAGGACAUUAACCUCCAGUAAUGGAAGGACUCGGUCUAGUGACCUUUCAUCUGGCCAAAGUAUUGGUGGGAGUAGCUGCAGCUGCAAACUGACAAAGGUGCUCCUGUGGAAUUUCACAGGGCAAGGAGCUACUCACGAGGCAAACCUGGGAAAGAGAACACUAUGAGUUGGUAUGGGCCUACAUGAACACUAGCUAAUCAAUCGAAGGCUUCUGGGGGGCCAUAAACACUUUGAUGUUGUUUGGAUUCUGACCUCCAGAUUUUUUUCAAAUUGCAAAUUUGAAUACUUUUGGAUAUACACUGAUGGCCUGAUUAUCGUCAAUGCCAAGUUAGUCACUGGUAGCAGUGGCCUAUAAGGGGUCUCCAGGUGGCCAUUGUCAAGGAAGGGUCUCAAGAAAGCCGUUUGUGUUGUGUGGGCCAGGGCAAAAGUCAGUGAAAUCUGAGUCCUCUCUAUUUACAGUCACAUUUGUUUGCAUAGAUUCAUGAAACCCAGGGAAGCUUGAAUUACAAUAAUAAAAAUUUAAAAAUAAUAAAAACAUAACAAAAAUCA